GCGCCCGUAGCUCAGCAGGAUAGAGCAUCAGAUUCCUAAUCUGAGGGUCACAGGUUCGAAUCCUGUCGGGCGCACCA
rnacentral:tRNA from 2 species